rnacentral:rRNA from 1 species
UACGGGGGGGGCAAGCGUUGUUCGGAAUUACUGGGCGUAAAGGGCUCGUAGGCGGCCAACUAAGUCGGACGUGAAAUCCCUCGGCUUAACCGGGGAACGGCGUCCGAUACUGGAUGGCUUGAGUUUGGGAGAGGGAUGCGGAAUUCCAGGUGUAGCGGUGAAAUGCGUAGAUAUCUGGAGGAACACCGGUGGCGAAGGCGGCAUCCUGGACCGGCAUUGACGCUGAGGCGCGAAAGCUAGGGGAGCAAACGGG